rnacentral:rRNA from 1 species
CGCGUAGGCGGCGUGGUAAGUCACUUGUGAAAUCUCUGAGCUUAACUCAGAACGGCCAAGUGAUACUGCUGUGCUAGAGUGCAGAAGGGGCAAUCGGAAUUCUUGGUGUAGCGGUGAAAUGCGUAGAUAUCAAGAGGAACACCUGAGGUGAAGACGGGUUGCUAGGCUGACACUGACGCUGAGGCGCGAAAGCCAGGGGAGCAAACG